CAAUAGCGUAUAUUAAAGUUGUUGCAGUUAAAAAGCUCGUAGUUGGAUUUCUGGUGGGAGCGAUCGGUCUGGCGCUUAGCGCGAGUACUUGCAUCGUCUCCGGCCAUCCUUGGGGAGAGUCUGUCUGGCAUUAAGUUGUCGGGCAGAGGAUCCUCAUCGUUUACUGUGAAAAAAUUAGAGUGUUCAAAGCAGGCUUAUGCCGUUGAAUAUAUUAGCAUGGAAUAAUAAGAUAGGACUUUGGUACUAUUUUGUUGGUUUGCACACCAAAGUAAUGAUUAAUAGGGACAGUUGGGGGUAUUCGUAUUCCGUUGUCAGAGGUGAAAUUCUUGGAUUUACGGAAGACGAACUACUGCGAAAGCAUUUACCAAGGAUGUUUUCAUUAA
rnacentral:rRNA from 1 species